UUGUGCUAGCUAAACAGCUGACCCCUAUUCUUUCUCCUGCUUUUUAUCCUCUUUCCCAGAUUGAACACCCUGGCAUUACUUUGUUGUAGAAAGAGAAGACUGAAAGCCUUUUGAACUACAUGCUGACAGGAGUGCAGCUGACAACGCAGUGACCUAGAUCUGCUGCCAGGGGUGCCAGAUGAGCAAGAAAACCCACAAAAUUCAAGGCCUCAGAAGCUGAAUGGGCCACUCAUCAAGGAGGAGCUGGAAAAAGCCUUGAGGGAGUCCAGAAAUUGAAGCUCUCAUCCUGGCUCCUUCAUUCAGUAGCUCUAUGACCACAGGCAAAUCACUUAGCCAUUGAAGUUCAGUUUCGUCAUUGGUAAAAUAGGUGAGGAAGAAUUGGGCUGUUUACAACCUAAAGAUCAGGAUACCAUAUCAUUACAAACAAGGCUGAAUGUGAAAAAGAUGUCUGGAACUUGGCAGCCAUAGUGGACCAUGAGGUGAUGUGCUAAGAAUGGUGGAGCAGCAAGAUAGAAGGAGUUGGGUCUCUGACUCCUGGAACCACCAUCCCAACCCUCGGUUAUCUUCUGUUGGACCUCUUUGCCAUAAGAGAGAAAUGAUUUCUAUCUUCUUUAGGCUACUGUUAUUUUAGUUUUCUUGUCACACGUAAACUUAGCCCUAACUGAUAAAAUAAUCAUCUAUUCAAGACCCUGUGCUAAAUGCUGCACUUACUGUAAAGAUAUAAA